AUGCAUGGGUGUAUAGUUGAGUGC
rnacentral:miRNA from 1 species